UACGAAGGGAGCUAGCGUUGUUCGGAAUCACUGGGCGUAAAGCGCACGUAGGCGGAUGUGUCAGUCAGGGGUGAAAUCCCGGAGCUCAACUUCGGAACUGCCUUUGAUACAGCACAUCUGGAGUCCGGAAGAGGUGGGUGGAAUUCCUAGUGUAAGAGGUGAAAUUCGUAGAUAAUUAGGAAGAACACCGGUGGCGAAGGCGG
rnacentral:rRNA from 1 species